rnacentral:rRNA from 1 species
GGUUAAGUUGUUAAGGGCGCACGGUGGAUGCCUUGGCACUAGGAGCCGAUGAAGGACGGUACUAACACCGAUAUGCUUCGGGGAGCUGUAAGUAAGCUUUGAUCCGGAGAUUUCCGAAUGGGGA